rnacentral:rRNA from 1 species
GUGGGGAAUAUUGGACAAUGGGCGAAAGCCUGAUCCAGCCAUGCCGCGUGUGUGAAGAAGGUCUUCGGAUUGUAAAGCACUUUAAGUUGGGAGGAAGGGCAGUAAGUUAAUACCUUGCUGUUUUGACGUUACCGACAGAAUAAGCACCGGCUAACUUCGUGCCAGCAGCCGCGGUAAUACGAAGGGUGCAAGCGUUAAUCGGAAUUACUGGGCGUAAAGCGCGCGUAGGUGGUUUUGUAAGUUGGAGGUGAAAUCCCCGGGCUCAACCUGGGAACUGCCUCCAAAACUGCAUGACUAGAGUACGGUAGAGGGUAGUGGAAUUUCCUGUGUAGCGGUGAAAUGCGUAAAUAUAGGAAGGAACACCAGUGGCGAAGGCGACUACCUGGACUGAUACUGACACUGAGGUGCGAAAGCGUGGGGAGCAAACAGGAUUAGAAACCCGUGUAGUCC